GACGAACCGUGCGAACGUUAUUCGGAAUCACUGGGCUUAAAGCGCGUGUAGGCGGGCCGCACGUCGGUCGCUGAAAUCCCCCGGCUCAACCGGGGAAGGGGCGCCGAUACGACCGGCCUGGAGGGGCGUAGGGGGACCGGGAACUUCCGGUGGAGCGGUGAAAUGCGUUGAGAUCGGAAGGAACGCCCGUGGCGAAAGCGCGGUCCUGGACGCCUGCUGACGCUGAGACGCGAAAGCCAGGGGAGCGAACGGG
rnacentral:rRNA from 1 species